rnacentral:lncRNA from 1 species
AGUGAAGCAUAUGAUGUGACUGUGGAUAUCCAACUGCUUUAGCUGACAUCUUGGAAGGAAAGCAGGAGAGAGACCUGGGCCCUGACCUUCCUUCGUCACCAUCAGCUUGUGACAUCUUCUCAGGCCAGCCCUAGCCAACUCUGUGACUGUUUCCACAGGUGUCGAUGUUGGCAUCAUGUCUAACUUCUGCUGCUUCCCAAGGUCGCCAUGAUCAUCUCAUUAGUGAGCAGAUGUAAAGUAUUUGUAAAAAGGCAUCAUACAAAAACAAAGUUCAUUGUUAUUCAUCCUUUUCCUUCCCAAAUACACUAGACUUCUUUAAAACAUUAAAGCAAAG